rnacentral:lncRNA from 1 species
GUCAGUGGGAAUGUAAGUUGGUGCAGCUACUGUGGAAAACAGUAUGGAGGUUCCUCAGAAAACUAAAAAUAGAGUUGCCAUAUGACCCCGCAAUCCCACUCCUGGGCAUAUAUCCAGAGGAGACUAUAAUUCAAAAAGAUACAUGCACCCCUAUGUUCAUAGCAGCACUCUUCACAACAACCAAGAUAUGGAAACAACCUAAAUGUCCACUGACAGAUGAAUGGAUAAAGAAGAUGUGGUACAUAUAUACAAUAGAAUACUACUCAGCCAUAAAAAAGAAUGAAAUAUGCCAUUUGCAGCAACAUGGAUGCAACUAGAGAUUAUCACAAUAAAUGAAGUAGUAAAUCAGAAAGAGAAAGACAAAUACCAUAUAUCGCUUAUAUGUGGAAUCUAAAUAUGACAUAGGGACUUCCCUAGUGGUCCAGUGGUUAAGACUAUGUGCUCCUAAUGCAGGGGGCCCGGGUUCAAUCCCUGAUCAGGGAACUAGCUCCCACAUGCCGCAACUAAGAGCCCGCAUGCCGUAACUAAAGAUCCCACAUGCCACCACUAAAAAUCCUGCAUGCCUCAACUAAAGAUCUUGUGUGCCACAACUAAGACCCAGCGCAGCCAAAUAAAUAUUUUUUGAAAAAUGUGACACAAAUGAACCUAUCUAUGAAACAGAAACAGAAUCACGGACGUAGAGAACAGAUGUGGUUGCCAGGGGGGAUGGAGUGGGAGACGAGUUCACACGUGUAAGUUUUUAUACAGAGAAUGGAUAAACAACAACGUCCUACUGUAUAGCACAGGGAACUAUAUUCAAUAUCCUGUGAUAAACCAUAAUGGAGGGGCUUCCCUGGUGGCGCAGUGGUUACGAAUCCGCCUGCCAAUGCAGGGGACACGGGUUCAAGCCCUGGUCUGGGAAGAUCCCACAUGCCACGGAGCAACUAAGCCCGUGUGCCACACCUACUGAGCCUGCACUCUAGAGCCCAAGAGCCACAACUACUGAGCCCACGUGCCACAACUACUGAAGCCCGCACGCCUGGAGCCUGUGCUCUGCAAUAAGACAAGCCACCAAAAUAAAGCCCACGCACUGCAACGAAGAGUAGCCCCUACUUGCUGCAACUAGAGAAAGCCCACGCACAGCAAUGAAGACCCAACACAGCC